rnacentral:misc_RNA from 1 species
GAUGAAGAACGUAGUGAAAUGCGAUAAGUAAUGUGAAUUGCAGAAUUCAGUGAAUCAUCGAAUCUUUGAACGCACAUUGCGCCUGCCAGUAUUCUGGCGGGCAUGCCUGUUCGAGCGUCAUUUCAACCAUCAAGCCCCAGGCUUGUGUUGGAGCCCUGCGGCUGCCGCAGCCUCCCAAAACCAGUGGCGGGCUCGCUAUCACACCGAGUGCAGUAGUUUACUCUUCGCUCAGGGCGUGUGGCGGGUGCUAGCCGUAAAACCCCCAACUUCUCAAGGUUGACCUCGGAUCAGGUAGGAAUACCCGCUGAACUUAAGCAUAUCAAUAAGCGGAGGA